GCGCUUCAGCAGCGCCUAAACUAAAAUGGGAACAGUGCAGAGAAGAUGAACAAGGUCUCUGUACAAGCAUGUCAUGCCAAUCUGUGAAUCAUGUCAUAUUUUU